UGUACGUACCCUUGUGAGUUCAACUCUUUCCUGUUUCAAAUAAAUAAGUUUCAGGAAUUUGAGACUUCGAAUUUGCAAGAAAAAAUAUUUCAAUUUGGAUUUGGCUUGAAAAAGAGUUCAAGUUCUAUCUUUACGAUUUACUGUACUUCAUGACGUCUUAAUCCAUUUACAAGCCAAAGGAUGGCAUAAACAUCAACUCUCAAACCAAAAUUCCACAUUGUUCAUCAUUGCUAAGAAAGUUCCCCUUGGAAUAGGCUUUAAGCAUACAAGUGAAGAAUAUUGACCGUCUUGCCAGUUUUUAAUGAUGAUAUGCAGGUUAACAAAAUUGGUGGGAGAUCAAAGUUGUAAAGAAAAAUAGACCAGGGAGAGUGAUGCAACUAUACCUUCAACUAAAUUGUCCUGCAGAGUCACUGGACACCACUGUCAGUUCAGUUUUGAAGAACAUAAAUUGAGGAGUAUUUCUUGCAGACAAGUGCUAUUCUUUCGACGUUAGUUGAUAUCGUUGAUGAAGAAAGGAUUGAAAAGACAAUUGCAAAAUGUUGGAUGAUUUACUGGAGAUUCAUCUUCUCCGGUAAAUCACAUCUAUUCUUUAAUAUCAGAUAGACUCCAUAUGCCACUAGCAGCUUUUGUGGUUACAAGAUUCUGAGCAGACUAUAACCUUCAAUAGAGCAGACUAUAAUGAAGUAGUUCUUAUCCAAUUUAACCCCUGAUAUUUGAGGUAGCUUAUUAACAAGAAGUGGCAAGCCGAUGGAUAUAUUAGCAAAGCUAAAUGAGUUAGUUGGUUUUUCGCCUCAUCAAGAAAUUAAACUUUUUGAGGUUAAUUUUUUUCCUCUUAUUAUUCUCUUGCUGCUAAGUUUUUAACUCAAGCCCUUUUUUUACAAGUCACUUGGGAUUGGUAGUCCUU